UCAGUUGUCUUUCUCAUUUAAUGCUCCACACACGUGUCAUCUUCUGAUUGGACUACAAUUAUGCACCCUUUUUCAAAGCUUCUUUACUCCAUUAUUCACGAAGUGAUAGUUAUCUUUAUUAUAGGCUUUCCAUUAUUACGCUUCUAAGUUUGAUGGUUGUCAUCGUCUACAUAUUUAACCUUUUUCUUCCUUUGUCUUCUUCUUCACAAACCUUUAGCAAAUACUUUCGACCUUACUUUUGCUUUUUUC
rnacentral:lncRNA from 1 species